rnacentral:pre_miRNA from 1 species
AAAGUACUCCCUCCAUCCCAAAAUUCUUGUCUUAGAUUUGUCUAGAUACAGAUGUAUCAAGUCACAUUUUAGUAUUAGAUACAUCUGUAUCUAGACAAAUCUAAGACAAGAAAUUUGGGACAGAGGGAGUAGUUG